rnacentral:rRNA from 1 species
UACGGAAGGCGGCAGUGGGGAAUAUUGCACAAUGGGCGAAAGCCUGAUGCAGCUAUGCCGCGUGUAUGAAGAAGGCCUUAGGGUUGUAAAGUACUUUCAUCGGGGAGGAAAAAACAAAACUAAUAAUUUUAUUUCUUGACGUUACCCGAAAAAGAAGCACCGGCUAACUCCGUGCCAGCAGCCGCGGUAAUACGGAGGGUGCUAGCGUUAAUCAGAAUUACUGGGCGUAAAGAGCACGUAGGUGGUUUUUUUAAAGUCAGAUGUGAAAUCCCUGGGCUUAACCUAGGAACUGCAUUUUGAAACUGAAAUACUAGAGUAUCGUAGAGGGAGGUAGAAUUCUAGGUGUAGCGGUGAAAUGCGUAGAUAUCUGGAGGAAUACCUGUGGCGAAAGCGGCCUCCUAAACGAAUACUGACACUGAGGGUGCGAAAGCGUGGGGAGCAAACGAGGGAUUUAGAUACC